UGUGUCAGCCGCCGCGGUAAUACGGAGGAUGCAAGCGUUGUCCGGAAUUACUGGGUGUAAAGGGCGUGUAGGCGGGGCGUCAAGUCAGGUGUGAAAUUCCGAGGCUUAACUUCGGGUGUGCAUCUGAAACUGAUGUUCUUGAGUGUCGGAGAGGAAAGUGGAAUUCCCAGUGUAGCGGUGAAAUGCGUAGAGAUUGGGAGGAACACCAGUGGCGAAGGCGGCUUUCUGGACGAUAACUGACGCUGAGGCGCGAAAGCGUGGGUAGCAAACAGGAUUAGAUACCCUGGUAGUCCACGCCGUAAACGAUGGAUACUAGGUGUAGGAGGUAUCGACCCCUUCUGUGCCGGAGUUAACACAAUAAGUAUCCCACCUGGGGAGUACGGCCGCAAGGCUGAAACUCAAAGGAAUUGACGGGGGCCCGCACAAGCAGUGGAGUAUGUGGUUUAAUUCGAAGCAACGCGAAGAACCUUACCAGGUCUUGACAUCCCUGGACAGCUGUGGAAACACAGUUUCCCUUCGGGGCCAGGAGACAGGUGGUGCAUGGUUGUCGUCAGCUCGUGUCGUGAGGUGUUGGGUUAAGUCCCGCAACGAGCGCAACCCUUGCCUUUAGUUGCCAUCAUUAAGUUGGGGACUCUAAAGGGACUGCCGGUGACAAAUCGGAGGAAGGUGGGGAUGACGUCAAAUCAUCAUGCCCCUUAUGAUCUGGGCUACACACGUGCUACAAUGGGUGGUACAGAGGGAAGCGAAGCCGUGAGGCGGAGCGAAUCCCAGAAAGCCACUCUCAGUUCGGAUUGCAGGCUGCAACUCGCCUGCAUGAAGUCGGAAUCGCUAGUAAUCGCAGGUCAGCAUACUGCGGUGAAUACGUUCCCGGGCCUUGUACACACCGCCCGUCACACCACGAAAGUUCGCAACACCCGAAGCCGGUGGCCUAACCGCAAGGAGGGAGCCGUCGAAGGUGGGGCGGAUGAUUGGGGUGAAGUCGUAACAAGGUAGCCA
rnacentral:rRNA from 1 species